CGGAACUGCUAAUACCGCAUAAGCCCACGGUACCGCAUGGCACUGAGGGAAAAGGAUUUAUUCGCUUUAGGAUGGACUCGCGUCCAAUUAGCUAGUGGUGAGGUAACGGCCCACCAAGGCGACGAUUGGUAGCCGGACUGAGAGGUUGAACGGCCACAUUGGGACUGAGACACGGCCCAGACUCCUACGGGAGGUCAGCAGUGGGGGAUAUUGCACAAUGGGGGAAACCCUGAUGCAGCGACGCCGCGUGGAGGAAGAAGGUUUUCGGAUUGUAAACUCCUGUCGUUAGGGACGAUAAUGACGGUACCUAACAAGAAAGCACCGGCUAACUACGUGCCAGCAGCCGCGGUAAAACGUAGGGGUGCAAGCGUUGUCCGGAAUUACUGGGUGUAAAGGGAGCGCAGGCGGGAAGACAAGUUGGAAGUGAAAACCAUGGGCUCAACCCAUGAAUUGCUUUCAAAACUGUUUUCUUGAGUAGUGCAGAGGUAGAUGGAAUUCCCGGUGUAGCGGUGGAAUGCGUAGAUAUCGGGAGGAACACCAGUGGCGAAGGC
rnacentral:rRNA from 1 species